rnacentral:rRNA from 1 species
UACGUAGGGUGCGAGCGUUGUCCGGAAUUAUUGGGCGUAAAGGGCUCGUAGGCGGUUUGUCGCGUCGGGAGUGAAAACACACAGCUUAACUGUGUGCUUGCUUCCGAUACGGGCAGACUAGAGGUAUGCAGGGGGAGAACGGAAUUCCUGGUGUAGCGGUGGAAUGCGCAGAUAUCAGGAAGAACACCGGUGGCGAAGGCGGCUCUCUGGGCCUUACCUGACGCUGAGGAGCGAAAGCGUGGGUAGCGAACAGG